AAGCUAUCGAAGACGGAAGCAACAAAGGAUCAUUCAAUAGAGAGCGAGACCAUGGCUGAAAGUCUUGCAAGAUCUGAUCCGAACCACUUCUCGAGAUUGCCGCAAGGCCCUGUUACGCAGGUUACGCGUCAAUUAAGUGGCCAACAGCCGGUGCUGUUGGCAAACUGGGUGGAACCGCGAUCACUGAUCGUCCCUGAU
rnacentral:ncRNA from 1 species